CCUCUAGCACAAAGUAUUAAAGGUAACGCCUGCCCAGUGAUAAAUUAAACGGCCGCGGGAUCCUCCACCGUGCAAAGGUAGCAUAAUCACUUGUCCCCUAAAUAGUGACUAGUAUGAACGGCCAAAUGAAGAUUUUACUGUCUCUUAUAGCCAAUCUAUGAAACUAAACUAUCAGUCCAAAAGCUGAUAUAUUAACAUAAGACGAAAAGACCCUGUGGAACUUCAAGCAUAACCCACCAUAAUGGUCCACCUGCUUUUAGUUGGGGCAACUUUGGAAAAAAACAAAACUUCCAAUAAAAUUAGAGAUUGACACAUCUAUAUAAAAUACACCCGACCCAACACAUGUUGAUCAAAGAACCAAGCUACCCCAGGGAUAACAGCGCCAUCCCCUCUUAGAGCCCAAAUCGACGAGUGGGGUUUACGACCUCGAUGUUGGAUCAGGGCCCCCAAACAGUGCAACAGCUGUUAAUGGUUUGUUUGUUCAACAAUUAAAGCCCUACGUGAUCUGAGUUAAGACCGGAGCAAUCCAG
rnacentral:rRNA from 1 species